GACUCUCUGGAGAAGUCCGCAAGACCCCUUGCGGAGGCCGAAGGUGCAAAGCGAGAUCGCGUCAAACUCUCAGGCAAAAGGACAGAGCGUG
rnacentral:ncRNA from 1 species